rnacentral:rRNA from 1 species
UACGUAGGGCGCAAGCGUUAUCCGGAAUUAUUGGGCGUAAAGAGCUCGUAGGUGGUUUGUCGCGUUGUUCGUGAAAACCGGGGGCUUAACUCUCGGCGUGCGGGCGAUACGGGCAGACUGGAGUACUGCAGGGGAGACUGGAAUUCCUGGUGUAGCGGUGGAAUGCGCAGAUAUCAGGAGGAACACCGGUGGCGAAGGCGGGUCUCUGGGCAGUAACUGACGCUGAGGAGCGAAAGCGUGGGGAGCGAACAGG